AGAUUGAACGCUGGCGGCGUGCUUAACACAUGCAAGUCGAGCGGUAACGCGGGAGCAAUCCUGGCGACGAGCGGCGAACGGGUGAGUAAUGCUUGGGAAUCUGCCCAUUAGUGGGGAACAACCAGCCGAAAGGUUGGCUAAUACCGCAUACGCCCUACGGGGGAAAGCGGGGGAUCGAAAGACCUCGCGCUAAUGGAUGAGCCCAAGUCGGAUUAGCUUGUUGGUAGGGUAACGGCCUACCAAGGCGACAAUCCGUAGCUGGUCUGAGAGGACGACCAGCCACACUGGGACUGAGACACGGCCCAGACUCCUACGGGAGGCAGCAGUGGGGAAUAUUGGACAAUGGGGGCAACCCUGAUCCAGCGACGCCGCGUGUGUGAAGAAGGCCUGCGGGUUGUAAAGCACUUUUAGUGGGGAUGAAAAGCUCAGGGUUAACACCUCUGGGUCUUGACCUAACCCACAGAAAAAGCAACCGGCUAACUCUGUGCCAGCAGCCGC
rnacentral:rRNA from 1 species